rnacentral:rRNA from 1 species
UACGUAGGUGGCAAGCGUUGUUCGGAAUUAUUGGGCGUAAAGGGCGCGUAGGCGGUCUUGUAAGUCAGCUGUGAAAGUCAAAGGCUCAACCUUUGAAAGCCGGUGGAUACUGUGAGGCUAGAGUACGGAAGAGGCGAGUGGAAUUCCUGGUGUAGCGGUGGAAUGCGCAGAUAUCAGGAGGAACACCAAUAGCGAAGGCAGCUCGCUGGGACGUUACUGACACUGAGGCGCGAAAGCGUGGGGAGCGAACAGG